CGCGGAGUGGAGCAGUCUGGUAGCUCGUUGGGCUCAUAACCCAAAGGUCGCAGGUUCAAAUCCUGCCUCCGCAA
rnacentral:tRNA from 2 species